rnacentral:tRNA from 1 species
GGGGGUGGUGGCAAUGGCACACUGGCAAAGUAUUUGCUUAGCAUGCAGAAGGUCCCAGGUUCAAUCCCCGGCAUCUCCA